UACGGCCACAUCACUUUGAAAAACCGGUUUCCGUACGACCACCAAAUUUAUGCAACAUUGAGCUUGAUUAGUACCUAGAUGGGUGAUCGCUUGAGAAUACCAGAUGCAGUAA